UUUUUGAAAUUAUCAUCUUUCCUUAUUAACUACAAUACUUACCUGAACAAGGGGUUGUUCCUCCAUUGCCCGUAUUACAUUUAGGAAGGAGACCUUUCUCCAAAUCAAUUUCAUUAUCAUUUCCUGAGUGCACACUCAAUUCAUCUGCAGAAUCCUCAAUGGGAGCAUAAGAACCACUCAUUUUUAGCAUUUGGACGAAAAAUAUAAGAUUAGAUCACAGAAUUGCAAGAAUCAAAAUUGUUGA